rnacentral:piRNA from 1 species
CUGAAGAAAGGAACUGGAAAACU